UGGUGGCCCUAGCACUCGCCAGCUUCUCGGGUAGACGCCACAGCCCGAGACCUGAGACAGGCACUUCCGGCCGGUGCAGUGGGGCAGUUGAUCGCCAUGGCUGCUCCCUUCCAGGGUUCCCACUGGGAGAAUCUGCCUGCAGUGGGGGAAGGUAGAAUGCAGCUACUGGAACACUCUCGGAGUAACUGAAGGAGGAAGAUGGAAGACUGGGGGACUCUAGAUGGCUAAGUCACGUGCCCUCUGUGGAAUCCUUGUAAACCACACAGUUUGUAAAUUCGACAGGAUAUUGGGGUCCUCAGCUUUUAAGGGCAAAGAGUAAAAUCCCGUUUCAAUUG